AGAGUUUGAUCCUGGCUCAGGACGAACGCUGGCGGCGUGCCUAACACAUGCAAGUCGAACGAGAAUCUUUGGAAUGAUUCUUUCGGGAUGAAUUCCAAAGAGGAAAGUGGCGGACGGGCGAGUAACGCGUGAGUAACCUGCCCAUAAGAGGGGGAUAAUCCAUGGAAACGUGGACUAAUACCGCAUAUUGUAGUUAAGUUGCAUGACUUGAUUAUGAAAGAUUUAUCGCUUAUGGAUGGACUCGCGUCAGAUUAGAUAGUUGGUGAGGUAACGGCUCACCAAGUCAACGAUCUGUAGCCGAACUGAGAGGUUGAUCGGCCGCAUUGGGACUGAGACACGGCCCAGACUCCUACGGGAGGCAGCAGUGGGGAACAUUGCGCAAUGGGGGCAACCCUGACGCAGCAACGCCGCGUGCAGGAAGAAGGUCUUCGGAUUGUAAACUGUUGUCGCAAGGGAAGAAGACAGUGACGGUACCUUGUGAGAAAGUCACGGCUAACUACGUGCCAGCAGCCGCGGUAAUACGUAGGUGACAAGCGUUGUCCGGAUUUAUUGGGUGUAAAGGGCGCGUAGGCGGACUGUCAAGUCAGUCGUGAAAUACCGGGGCUUAACCCCGGGGCUGCGAUUGAAACUGACAGCCUUGAGUAUCGGAGAGGAAAGCGGAAUUCCUAGUGUAGCGGUGAAAUGCGUAGAUAUUAGGAGGAACACCAGUGGCGAAGGCGGCUUUCUGGACGACAACUGACGCUGAGGCGCGAAAGUGUGGGGAGCAAACAGGAUUAGAUACCCUGGUAGUCCACACCGUAAACG
rnacentral:rRNA from 1 species